rnacentral:rRNA from 1 species
UUGAAAGGGAAACGAUUGAAGUCAGUCGUACUUUCGGGUAAUCAGCCUUUCGGGUGCGAUUCUGUGGAGUUUGAGGAGCUUAACACCUUCAUGCUUUGCAUAUUCGUGCUCUUGGGUGUACUUGCCCGUGUGGUUGGUUAACAUCAAUUUCGGGCACCAUAAAAUGGCUGGAGGAAUGUAGCUUCGAUCUUGUAUUGAAGUGUUAUAGCCUUCGGUAGAUGUGGUGAUCGAGAUUGAGGAUUGCAACGGAUACCUUUCGGGGCUACCUGUCUGAUCUCUGAUCGUUGCUUUGGUGCUGAAAGCGUGCUUAUAGUUAUCAAAGUCGAUGGUCAAUAGGUUAGAAUGGGUUAAAUUCGUUAAGGAUGUUGACGUA